rnacentral:rRNA from 1 species
CCUACGGGGGGCUGCAGUGGGGAGUAUUGCACAAUGGGCGCAAGCCUGAUGCAGCCAUGCCGCGUGUGUGAAGAAGGCCUUCGGGUUGUAAAGCACUUUCAGCGGGGAGGAAGGCGGUGAGGUUAAUAACCUCAUCGAUUGACGUUACCCGCAGAAGAAGCACCGGCUAACUCCGUGCCAGCAGCCGCGGUAAUACGGAGGGUGCAAGCGUUAAUCGGAAUUACUGGGCGUAAAGCGCACGCAGGCGGUCUGUCAAGUCGGAUGUGAAAUCCCCGGGCUCAACCUGGGAACUGCAUUCGAAACUGGCAGGCUAGAGUCUUGUAGAGGGGGGUAGAAUUCCAGGCGUAGCGGUGAAAUGCGUAGAGAUCUGGAGGAAUACCGGUGGCGAAGGCGGCCCCCUGGACAAAGACUGACGCUCAGGUGCGAAAGCGUGGGGAGCAAACAGGAUUAGAUACCCGAGUAGUC